UUUAGUUAGUGCGCGGCCACUUUUUAGAUUUUAGGAAGGUUCAUUGUCCUCUAGAUUUUAGAGUACAAUUCUGCAAUAUCUUCCUCAUCUUCCUCCAGCGACCAAAACUUCGACUACAGAAUUGUCUUCCUCCAGCGACCACAAUACAGGUACCGUCGAGCAAUCGAUCAACAUCAAGUAAGCUUCAUCUGCACGAAAUUAUAGAUCAUACCUAUUAAUGGUUGAAUUAUAGUCUAGGCAGUCCUGGUCUACAUUUUUUUGCCAUUACCUCCAAAGGUUUAUUUAUCUAGAAUCAUAUAGGCAUGGGUUCAUGUCUUAAUAGAAGGCCAGAAUCAUACUAAAACUAUGACAUAUCCAAGUGGGAUUACUUGCUGCGAUAUAGAGAAGCAUAUAUGAUGCAUAAGAUGUUCAUAUUAUAGAUUAUACCAAUUAUUAUAGAUAAGAUCUAUUAAUGGAUCAAUAAUACUUAAAUUAUAUUGUAGGUAGUGCUAAUCUAAAAAGGUUUCGCAUGUUAGCUCACAAGUUUCAUCACGAACAAACAAAUACAGAGAAACAGACAUAGAUGGCUUCCAUAUUUGAUCAGCCUCAGAUGCUAUAGUGGGUUUCUGUCCCCAUGGCAUCAGCUCCAUCUGAAACAAACAUAAAUUAAGACCAAUUGUCAAUAAAAUUGCAUUGAUUCAUCUACUUUUAUUUCAUAUAAUCAUGUACAGAAGGUUAAUGCCAUGGAUGUUGCUUCCAGUUUUCACGUUAAGAUAAUAUACUAUAGAAGUCUCAAAAACAAAUGGGAUUGCUUGCAUGUAAUUAUAUUACUUACUUUACUAAUCAACAUUCUGUUCUUAUAUUUAUAGGGCCUCAAAGAUUAUGGAACAUACACCGUUGAAUGCAUUGACUACACGAAACGAGACAUGGACAAUCAAAGUCAAAGUUUUAAGACUGGGAUGCAAUUAACUUAUCGACUAAUGAGCUCAUUAGCACAGAUAUGAUUUUACUGGACAGAAAGGUGCAAGCAUAUAUAAUGUCUCUUCAAUUUAUGCUUUCUAAAGUUUGCUGAUGUUUUCUCUUUAUGUAGGGCGAUGCGAUCCAUGCUUCUAUUGGGAGCACACUGGUCAAUAAAUUUAAGUCAAAGAUUAAAGAGGACUUCAUAUACAUAAUUAAGACCUUCAAAGUCUGGGAGUAUGAAAAAUACCGACCAUUGAAGAACAAUCUCAAAAUCAGUUUUCUUUAUGAUACAGUAGUGAAGGAAGUGGAUGAAGGAAAAUCCAAGUUUUUCGAUUACCACUUCGAAUUUGCUGAUGGUGAUACCUUGGAUAGUAGGGUGAAUAUUGAUAAGACAGUGCUCAGGUAUGAUCAUAAUCAAUAUCGAAGAACAAGCAUUGGUGAACUAGCCAGAUAUUAAAUAUGAUUAUGUGCAGAUGUCAUUGGAUUGCUUACUGCAAUGAAACAAUAGAGCAAGUACAAAAAAAAUAAAGGGACGGGCAUGGCGCAAACUUCAAACAUCCGUGAGAUUGAAAUCCUUUUACUAGAGUAAGUGAUUAUAUUACUAUAGUUUUUUUUGAAUUACAUAGAUGAUCUUUAUAUCACUUUUUCAUGAUUAAAUUCAUGCAGUGAUGAAAAGAUCCGGAUCACGCUAUGGGGUGAUAUUUUAGCAAAUAUGGUGAAUGAAAGACUUCCGCACAAACAAACAGUAGUGAUUGUCACUUCAAAUUUGGUCAGAAAAUUCAAUGGUGAGGACUAUAAUCCCUGUGUGUGAACUCAAAUCCAAAUUACUGACUUUCUUACCAGGGCUAUCACUAUGCACAACAAAUGCAUCUAAAGUCUUCCUCAGCCCUGAAAUUCCAGAGACAAACCAAAUUAUUGAGAGGUAUGGUAUAUAUAUAAUAAUGCAAUUAUAUAUGUUUUUGAAGUUACAAGUUUAUGUGGACAUGUUGUAAUCUAUUAUAGGUAUCGUGAAAGAGAUGUUAUUCCAACAAUGAUUGGAAUCAACGAAAGCACCCAACGAACAAUUGAGGAGCAAAUGUUGUACAACAGAAAAACAUUGAAGGAAAUUAUAGAACUGCGAUAUGCUGAUGUUAAAAGAAAGGUUUCUCUCUAACCUUGAUCAGCAUACUGUCGUGUCUUUAUUGUACAUUAUUAUAUAAUCUCAUGUUUUCUCCUUAACCGGAAUUUGUAUGCACAACAAAAGCAACGAUUGAUGAUAUUAUAACAGAUAAAGGGUGGUGGUACAUGGCAUGCAAACUUUCCUUUUGUGCUGUAAAAAAGGAACAUGAUAACUAUAUUUGCACUUCCUGUCGUGAAGUAGAUGAAAAUCCACACAUGUGGUGAGCAUAUUGUGAACUAGAUUGUAUUUGGUGCCAUUUGUUUUAAUAAUAUACCAGUAAUAACUUGACAAUAUCAUACUAGGUACCUACUUAAACUCAAGGUACGCGAUGACACGGAACCACAACUUUUGUGGUGUUUAAUGAGGUAGCAAAGAGUCUUUUAGGCAACAUGUCUGCAUCGACCCUAUUAGAGCAGGAGGGAUUCAACAACACAGUACCAGAUGUUAUUCAAACCCUUUAUGGCAGAACACUCAUAUUUCGGCUGAAGUAAAAUUCAAGGAAUCUACAAGAGUGUAUGGAAAAUUUUAAAGUGAGUUUCACUUUUGAAGUUGAUGACAAACUUGAGAUGGAAUAUUCAAAUGAAAUGGUUGAAGAGGUAUGCACAUGCACAUUUCAGUAUUUUAAAUGGCUUAUAAAACUAUAAUACAAGUACACUCUUUAUAGAGCAUACUGGAAAGGCAAGACACACAAGGUUCUUCAAAUUUGGCUAUGCACAAGUCCCAUAACGAGGUAUUCCCACUAAUUAAUGGUUUUGCUCUGACAAGUGUGCAAUUUUUUCUUUAAAAUGUUAAAAAAAAUAUUUUUAUUCUUAUAGGUGAACCACUCCUCCAAGAAUGCAACAAAUGAUGAGAAGAAGGAUAUGUGCAGAAAGGAAACCUCAAUAUCCUCUAACCAAAAGGAACAACGCAGGACAAAGAUACAAAAGUCUAGCAAAAGAUAUGAAAAAGAUGUGAGACCGUUUGCUUCCAGAAAUAGCAGAAAAUCAGUUGUUAAAAUUGAAGCUCCUGAUGACGAGGUAACAAAUUUAAAACAUUAUCUCCCUGUGUAUGCAUUGAUAAUUAAUUAUGGCCUAUUUAUUUAUGACAUAAUACAACGCACGGGAAGAGCCAAAAACUUUUUCACAGAAGAUAAAAGGAGAGACAAAACAAAAGAGAUGUAAACAAGAUUUCAAAAGAAAGGCUUCGCAAAAAAGGUUCGUAUAGAGAAAUUCUAUACUGAGAUCCUCUUUCAAAUUACUUUCCCUCAUUACACACACACACACACACACACACACACACACACACACACACACACAUACUACUACUACUACUAUUUUAUGACAUCGCUGAAAAAACAGGAAAAUAUAUUUGAAAAGGAGGUAGCAAACAUUCAAGCUACAGGUUCAGAUAUAAUUACCAUAGAAGAUGAUUCAGAUAAAGACUGCAGACAAAACAAUACACAUGUCAGAAGGCCUACCAACAAGAAACUCAGAAGAGUUGUGAACAAAAACAAAUUCAAUAGUGAGGUCAAAGAAACUGCAGAUCCGAGAUAUAACAAGGAUUUCAGAAACGACAACCACAGCGAGGGAUAUAAAAAUGUUAAGACCAAGGUUGCUUCCGCGAAGUUCAAAAAAACAAUACAUAACUUCAGCUGAAUACAUUCCACCUUAAAUAUCUAUUAACAAUAUGCUCUAUGAUGUUCAUUUUUAAUGCGUUGUUAAACUACCGCUAUCUUACAGGUACAAGAGGAAGAAAAUGACACAAAUGAUGAUUCCGCCAAUGAAGAAACCAAUAAUGAGGUACCAUCAAAUAAAAGGAAAAUGAUUUAAUUUUAAAUAUAUUAUUUCCAAAAUAUACAAUCAUUGGUAUGAAAUAAUAAUCCAUCAGUGUAUCGGUCAUUUCCCACUUUGGCCUAAUAUUAUGUAUGCAUUUCAUCUUAUAUAUGCAUUACAUAAUACAUUGUUAAAUUUCCACAUUAUAUCUUACAGGUACAAGAGGAAGGAAAUGAUACAGAUGGUGAUUUCACAAGUGAAGAAAUCAAUAGUGAGGUAAUAUCAACAAAAAUAACAAACACAAUUAUUUUAAACACUACCAUCCUCAUACUAAAGCUGGAUCAAGGAAAAUUGCAGACCUGCGGGAGAUGAAAUCCAUCACCGAAUCAAUUGCACAGACCACAACAUCAACGACACCGUGCAGAUCGACCAUCUCGCCUCCUAACUGGCGCACCAGAUCCCCAUUUACCAACCCACAGGAGGUGUACGAGGAGGAAAACUAGCCGCCGUCGAUGGGCAACCUGUGGAAGCACCAGGUGCGGGGGUGGCUUCAGGAUAGGACGAAUGCAGAUGGGAGCUAUCCAGCAGUAGCAAAUUUUCACUGAAGAAGAAAAAAAGGGAAGAAGAAAGGGGAUCGGCCAAAAACAUUAUCACUUGUGUGAAAAAAGAACAUCCGGAGAAGUCAAGAAGACUACGGAAUAGGCAAGUGAAGAGUAAUGUUGGUG
rnacentral:lncRNA from 1 species